rnacentral:rRNA from 1 species
AGAGUUUGAUCCUGGCUCAGGAUGAACGCUGGCGGCGUGCCUAACACAUGCAAGUCGAACGAAGAGUAAAUAGGAAGUCCUCGGAUGGAAUAUAUACUACUUAGUGGCGGACGGGUGAGUAACGCGUAAGUAAUCAACCUGUGACACACGGAUAACUGAUAGAAAUGUCAGCUAAUACGAGAUGAACUGUUUAAAUUGGGAGAUGUAAACAGCAAAGCGAAAGCGGUCACAGACGAGCUUGCGUCUGAUUAGCUAGUUGGUGGGGUAAGAGCCUACCAAGGCGACGAUCAGUAGCCGGCCUGAGAGGGUGAACGGCCACAUUGGAACUGAGACACGGUCCAAACUCCUACGGGAGGCAGCAGUGGGGGAUAUUGCACAAUGGGGGGAACCCUGAUGCAGCAACGCCGCGUGAGUGAAGAAGGCUUUCGAGUCGUAAAGCUCUGUCGUAUGAGAAGAAUAAAUGACUGUAUCAUACAAGAAAGCCCCGGCUAACUACGUGCCAGCAGCCGCGGUAAUACGUAGGGGGCAAGCGUUAUCCGGAAUUACUGGGCGUAAAGGGUGCGUAGGCGGCUUAGUAAGUCAAGAUUUAAAGGCAGCAGCUCAACUGCUGUUCGGUCUUGAAACUAUUGAGCUUGAGUAUAGGAGAGGAAAGUGGAAUUCCCAGUGUAGCGGUGAAAUGCGUAGAUAUUGGGAGGAAUACCGGUGGCGAAGGCGACUUUCUGGACUAUAACUGACGCUGAGGCACGAAAGCGUGGGUAGCAAACAGGAUUAGAUACCCUGGUAGUCCACGCCGUAAACGAUGAACACUAGGUGUUGGGAGGAAUCUCGGUGCCGGCGCAAACGCAAUAAGUGUUCCGCCUGGGGAGUACGUUCGCAAGAAUAAAACUCAAAGGAAUUGACGGGGACCCGCACAAGUAGCGGAGCAUGUGGUUUAAUUCGAAGCAACGCGAAGAACCUUACCUAAGCUUGACAUGGGGAUGAAAAGCGAUGUAAAGUCGUAAUAGUAGCUUGCUACACAUCCCACACAGGUGGUGCAUGGUUGUCGUCAGCUCGUGUCGUGAGAUGUUGGGUUAAGUCCCGCAACGAGCGCAACCCCUAUUGUUAGUUGCCAUCAUUCAGUUGGGCACUCUAGCGAGACUGCCGGUAAUAAACCGGAGGAAGGUGGGGAUGACGUCAAAUCAUCAUGCCCCUUAU